UUGCAUUUCAUUUCAUCUUCUGACCGGGUCUCAACCAAAGACCCUAAGGCACGUAUAUAUUAGAUGGAGAGAAACUUCCUGAGAAUGUAGGCGGUUGAUGACAAAACAAU